CAAACUUAACAAAAAAAAGAGAAAUAUGAUUCAAUCAUUCUAAAUCUGUUCAGAUUUGUAGUGCCUUAAAAGGAAAAAUUAUCCAUAAAUGCAUAAAAUAAUUUGUUGUACUAAUUUAUUACAAUGAGAAAUGGUGAAUGGUGGCAUAAAAUUCCAAUUUACUUACAUCACAAAAUUACAAAUUGCCUUUCAAAAUUCUGUAAAUUUAUAUGGUCAUAAUGUUAAUGAAAUUUAUGUUAUCUCAAAACAUCACUGAUUAGUUAUAAUUCAGUGAGAUAUAAGAACAACAUAUGAGAGAAUUACAGACGUCAUUGAGGAAAUCCCACCUCCUCUCACCACCCACCUGAAUCUUGAGAUCUCACUGUUACUGAAGCUGAGAAACACAUUCAAACCAACUGAGUCUUGGGGCCAUUCUGUGGAUGCAGAUUAUGGUCCCUAAGACAUGUAAGAAGGGAUGCUGUCAGUCAUCUCCCUCCAGGGCCCUUGACUGUCAUGUCACCUGUAGGUGCAGGGUGGCCCUGGCCCUGGCAUUGUUGGAAAGGGGAACCUCAUAAGAGAAAACGGAAUUUACCUAAUCUCUGGGAAAAAACAGAGUAGCAACAGCUGGGUUCCAAAUUUUAUGAUGUGUGAGCUCAUUUUCUUAGGUAAUCUUUCCCAGGUGGGUUGUCUGGUCUCAGUGCUUGUCAACAAAACAGAAGUUUUAAAAUAACUCUAAUUUUCAACUUUCUUUUUUCAUUUCCUUGUCACAUUAUUCAGUGUAUCUUUGCUGACUGAGAGAUUCCUGGUGGUCUUCAUACAUAUUCCUCAGUGGUCCCUGGAUUUCAAGGGCACAGGUCGCCUAUAUACCACUUUUUUGGAAAUGAAGAAAAUGCCCCCUGUGCCAGAUCUACAUAGGUGAAGGGCUCUGUCACCCAGAGGUCGCAGCCUUGAGACAGGGCACCUGGCAUAGAAAGCGGAAUGCAAAGGUCCCAGGAUACAAAUGUGGAAAACACGUCUCAGAAACAGUCUUGCUUUCCUGAAGUUCUUGAGAUUCAAUAAGCAUGUUAAAAACAUUCAGAGUUCUGGCUGAUAUUCAUUGGAGACUGGAAAUGCACAGAGGCACCUUGAGAUGUCCCCAGGUCACCCGAUAUCCUCCAAAAUGUCUCUUCCUCUUAUGUCGUGUUAUGUGCCAACUCCUGGUGUCUCAGACCUCCCCACACUGCCUUCUGAUUCAAGUGCUUUGUGGAUGACUCUGCAGGAAAUCAGCAUUGGCAACUCACCUGUGCUGCCAUCCCUUUUACCUACUUUCCUCCAUUCCAAUUUUUAUCCUCAAGCUAAGCUUUCAGAGUUGACACUUUAGUUAAAUGUCAAUUUCCCAAAUUGAAAGUCUGCACAAAUAUUUAAAACCAAAAGACAAUAAAUACAUUAAAGAUGGU